rnacentral:rRNA from 1 species
GACGAACGCUGGCGGCGUGCUUAACACAUGCAAGUCGAACGAAGUGGCGAACGGGUGAGUAACGCGUAAUCAACCUGCCCUUCAGAGGGGGACAACAGUUGGAAACGACUGCUAAUACCGCAUACUGAAGGAGGGGAUUGCGUCUGAUUAGCUAGUUGGAGGGGUACCGGCCACCCAAGGCGAUGGUCAGUAGCCGGACUGGUGGGAUGAACGGCCACAUUUGGACGGAGACCCGGCCCAGCCUCCUACGGGAGGCAGCAGUAGGGAAACUUCCGAAAGGGACGAAAGCCUGACGGAGCAACGCCGCGUGAGUGAUGACGGCCUUCGGGUUGUAAAGCUCUGUUAAUCGGGACGCGGUACCGGAAUAGAAAGCCACGGCUAACUACGUGCCAGCAGCCGCGGUAAUUC